rnacentral:tRNA from 1 species
UUUAAUAUGGCAGAUUAGUGCAAUAAGUUUAAGCCUUAUAUAUAAAGGAUACCCUUUUAUUAAA